rnacentral:rRNA from 1 species
GAUGAACGCUGGCGGCGUGCCUAAUACAUGCAAGUCGAACGAAACUUCUUUAUCACCGAGUGCUUGCACUCACCGAUAAAGAGUUGAGUGGCGAACGGGUGAGUAACACGUGGGCAACCUGCCCAAAAGAGGGGGAUAACACUUGGAAACAGGUGCUAAUACCGCAUAACCAUAGUUACCGCAUGGUAACUAUGUAAAAGGUGGUUAUACUACCGCUUUUGGAUGGGCCCGCGGCGCAUUAGCUAGUUGGUAGGGUAAAGGCUUACCAAAGCAAUGAUGCGUAGCCGAAUUGAGAGGUUGAUCGGCCACAUUGGGACUGAGACACGGCCCAAACUCCUACGGGAGGCAGCAGUAGGGAAUCUUCCACAAUGGGCGAAAGCCUGAUGGAGCAACGCCGCGUGGGUGAAGAAGGUCUUCGGAUCGUAAAACCCUGUUGUUAGAGAAGAAAGUGCGUGAGAGUAACUGUUCACGUUUCGACGGUAUCUAACCAGAAAGCCACGGCUAACUACGUG